rnacentral:snRNA from 1 species
AUAGCCUGAAUUCUCUUCAGAUCAUAUAAACUGGCCUUUUACUAAAGGUUUCAGUGGAAAGGAACAAGGCUGGGUUAUUAGCCAGUUUAUUUUUCAUUUUUAAUAAUGGAU